rnacentral:lncRNA from 1 species
CGUUAAAGUAUCGAGCCGAAAAAUUCAGCUCGUGUUCGGCUCGUUUAUUAACGAGCCGACCAUGAGCUGGCUAACGAACAAUAAAUUAAAAAUGAUUAGAUUAAAUAUAUAUAAAAAAUAAAUUUAUCAAAUCUUAUCCAUUAGACUUUGAUCUAAUAGUUGAAAUUUUACAUAUAAAUGGGUCUUUUUAUAAUUAAGCUCGCAUUUAAAUAUAUGUAAUUAUCGAACCGAACAUGAGCGAGCUGACCCAGCUCGUGUUCAACUCGUUUACUAAACGAACGAUUCGAUCUCGAGCACAUUUCGAGCCGAACACGAGCUGACUCGUGAACAGCGAGCUGAAUUGCCACCCCUACAUCAUCACGUCCACCAUGGUCGU